UCUGUAAGCCUGCGAAGGUGUGCUGUGAGGCAUGCUGGAGGUAUCAGAAGUGCGAAUGCUGACAUAAGUAACGAUAAAGCGGGUGAAAAGCCCGCUCGCCGGAAGACCAAGGGUUCCUGUCCAACGUUAAUCGGGGCAGGGUGAGUCGACCCCUAAGGCGAGGCCGAAAGGCGUAGUCGAUGGGAAACAGGUUAAUAUUCCUGUACUUGGUGUUACUGCGAAGGGGGGACGGAGAAGGCUAUGUUAGCCGGGCGACGGUUGUCCCGGUUUAAGCAUGUAGGCUGAUUGUCCAGGCAAAUCCGGAUAAUCAAGGCUGAGGUGUGAUGACGAGGCACUACGGUGCUGAAGUAACAAAUGCCCUGCUUCCAGGAAAAGCCUCUAAGCAUCAGGUAACAUUAAAUCGUACCCCACUCCGACACACGUGGUCAGGUAGAGAAUACAAAGGCUCUUGAGAGAACUCGGGUGAAGGAACUAGGCAAAAGGGUGCCGCUACUUCGGGAGAAGGCACGC
rnacentral:rRNA from 1 species